rnacentral:lncRNA from 1 species
CAUCCUGGCACCCUGUUCAUGAACCUGCAGGUGAUGCUGUGGGGAGCUCUGCCUGGUGCGAAAACUGCUGACGUGGUGGGCUAAGGCGGUCAAACCCCUCUGUUGCAGGAUGUCCCAGUGGACCUCAGGUCCUUCCUGUUUGCUGAGCUUGUGUUUCAGCUGCCUUUCUUUCCCACUGCAAACCCUGCCUUCUUCCAAAAGCUGCCGGUAGAUCCAAAGCCCUGCAGACUUCUACUCAGGUUGCGACAUGGCAACGUGAAUGCCAGUACUCUCCACAUUUCUAUUUGAGGAUUUCGCAAAAGCUAGUGGCUUCCAAGGACAAAGGCCUGAGACCGUGCACGAACCAUUCACCCUUGCAUCUGGCUGUGCACCUUACUCACACGUCCCUUUCAUAUGUCUGCGUUGGCUGUUGAAGAGCUCCUACUGCAAGUAUGCAAGUGUGGGGAGAAAA